rnacentral:tRNA from 2 species
GGGGGUAUAGCCCAGCUAGGCAGGGCGACAGGCUCCAGACCUGUAGACCGUCGGUUCAAAUCCGACUACCCCCA